GGAGGGAGCGAGCGUUGUUCGGAAUCACUGGGCGUAAAGGGCGCGUAGGCGGCCGAGUAAGUCGUGUGUGAAAGACCGGGGCUCAACUCCGUGUACUGCAUGCGAUACUGCCCGGCUAGAGUAAGGUAGAGGCGAGUGGAAUUCCCGGUGUAGCGGUGGAAUGCGUAGAUAUCGGGAAGAACACCUGUGGCGAAGGCGGCUCGCUGGGCCUUUUCUGACGCUGAAGUGCGAAAGCGUGGGGAGCAAACAGGAUUAGAUACCCUGGUAGUCCACGCCGUAAACGAUGGGCACUAGGCGUUGGGAGGAUUGACCCUCUCAGUGCCGUAGCUAACGCGUUAAGUGCCCCCGCCUGGGGAUACGGCCGCAAGGCUG
rnacentral:rRNA from 1 species